rnacentral:rRNA from 1 species
AGAGUUUGAUCCUGGCUCAGAUUGAACGCUGGCGGCAUGCCUUACACAUGCAAGUCGGACGGUAACGCGGGGCAACCUGGCGACGAGUGGCGAACGGGUGAGUAACAUAUCGGAACGUAUCCAUAAGUGGGGGACAACCUGGCGAAAGCCAGGCUAAUACCGCAUACGCAGGAGACUGGAAAGUGGGGGACCGCAAGGCCUCACGCUUUAGGAGCGGCCGAUAUCCGAUUAGCUUGUUGGUGAGGUAAAGGCUUACCAAGGCUAUGAUCGGUAGCUGGUCUGAGAGGAUGAUCAGCCACACUGGAACUGAGACACGGUCCAGACUCCUACGGGAGGCAGCAGUGGGGAAUUUUGGACAAUGGGCGCAAGCCUGAUCCAGCCAUGCCGCGUGCGGGAAGAAGGCCUUCGGGUUGUAAACCGCUUUUGUCAGGGAAGAAACGCUCCGGGCUAAUACCCUGGGGUAAUGACGGUACCUGAAGAAUAAGCACCGGCUAACUACGUGCCAGCAGCCGCGGUAAU